UUGAGCGCUGGAAUACUUGUGUAAUUGUUGGUGGUCUUUUGGGUACUUGAACGUUAUGUUUAUUAUGACAAAGUGUGACAAUGUUUUGAAGAUAAGUUGUACCCAUUAAUUUAGUAUAUUUAUUGGGUAGAUAUGCUACAAUCCUUUUCUACGAGCAGUGGCUCUUAUCGCUUCACGCGACUACCAUACGGAUUAAAAAUAGCUCCAAAUUCCUUUCAACGAAUGAUGACAAUGGCAUUUACAGCUCUGGAACCAUCUCAAGCAUUUCUGUACAUGAAUGACUUAAUUGUCAUAGGCUGUUCUGAAAAACACAUGGCCAAGAAUCUUAUAAAUGUUUUUGAACUAUGCAGAAAAAACAACCUCAAUAAGUGCUCAUUUUUCAUGAGUGAAGUCACUUCCCGUCACAUAACAAGAUUAUGUAAAAAAGUAUAAAGUUCGAAUGGACAGCUGAUUGCCAGCAUGCCUUCGAACACCUUAAAAAAGAACUAAUAAAUCCAACAUUGCUGAAAUACCCCUUUACUUUACUUUAGCAAAGAGUUCUGUAUCAUAACUGAUGCUAGGAAAGAGGCAUGUGGAGCGGUAUUGAAAGCGGUAUUGACCCAGAACUAUAAUGGUAUCCACUUGCCAGUAGCUUUACAUCCCGUAGCUUCACUAAGGGUGAGAGCAACAAGUCAACAACAGAGCAAGAGUUGUCAGCAAUACAUUGGGCGAUAAAUCAUUUCAAACCAUAUAUAUAUGGUAGACACUUCACCGUCAAAACAGAUCACAGACCAUUAACAUACUAGUUCUCGAUGGUUAAUCCAAGUUCAAAACUGACCAGAAAUGAGGCUUGAUUUAGAAGAAUAUGAACUUACUGUGGAAUAUCUUAAGGGAAAAGACUAUUAUGUAGCAGAUGCGUAAUCAAGAAUAACCAUCGACCAACAAAAAAUAUAUCCAAACAAGUACUUAAAGUCACUACAAGAAAUCAAAGUAGACAGAAAUCCUGCACAGGAAAAGGAAAUAAAAAUGAUAAAGUAGAAUUGGCUAAGCAAACUACUCAAGAAGCUUCUAAGCCCAAAGUAUACGCAGUCAUUAAUAAUGACGAAAUACGCAAAGUAGUAACAUUGCAUGUAAAUAAUAUAAUAUGUUUUUUUAAACAUGGAAGAAAAUUUACUGCAAGAUACAAUGUUGAAGAUUUGUAUAUUAAUGGACCUCUCGACUUAGCUCAAUUUUUCCAAAGGCUUGAAAAGCAGGCCGGUAUGCAUAAUAUCAAUCAACUUAAAAUGGCACCGUGGGAAAAUAUCUUUGAUAACAUUUCAAUAGAUAAAUUUAAGAAAAUGGUCAAUGAAACAUUAAAACUAUUAAGAGUUGCGCUACUCAACUCGGUGACCUUAGUGAAUACAAAGAAAGUAAAAGAAGCAAUCCUGUCUAAACACCAUGACGAUACAAUACAGUAGCAAAAGCAAUAUUUUUAUACUAAAGUUCGGUCCAAUGAAGACGUUCAUUUCGGUCAUGGGAACUGAAUACAUAAAUUUAAUAAUCAAAGAUUUAUUGUAAUGUCCCCAUAUAUCAAGAUUUUUUUUUUUAAAUCCCCAAAAUUUGCGCCUUAGUUAGUAGCGAUAAUAAUUAUCGGAACCUUAUCUGGCAACGUCAUCUAAAUGGCAAUUGACCAGCUGGUGAAUAUUGAUUCGGAGAAGGGUUCUUCGGAUCCCCAGUAUCUAGCUUCGAUCUUUUCUUACGACGAUCGUCAAGCUGAUAAGUUCAGUCCCAGCAGAGAUAAGACCUAGCAAAAAGGCAAAUCAAGAAAAAAGAACUGGAGAGUACAAUCACAUGUGCUCCCAACUUUAAUCCAGCGUUUAUUUCGGCAUCAAGAUUAAAAGGCAACAAAGAAAAGGCAAUUAAUAAAUGCCCGUGGAUUGCCGUGUCGGCAAGGUCACGCGUGUUAUUUUUAUCGUCGACUACACAGCGAGAAAUCGCCAGGUCGAUCGAUUCCACUAAAGAAGAAAAUCACUGGGUAAAUAUCCAAGUAAUUCUGGGAAAAAAUUGCCCGAAAUGAAUGAGUUAUAUUCCCGCAGUUACCCGAGGAAACGAAGCUGAAUUUUAAACUCUUCCACGCCGACCCAAAAGUUCGGCUGGAGUCAGCUACCUCUGCUGGGAGACAAUUUGUUCGGAGGUCGCAGGAAAAAAUCUACAGAAAACCUACAUAGAAAUAAAAACCCUUACAAAACUAGUGUAAAACAAAAACAGAUUAAAAUACCUUCAGUGCCAAAAAACCCAAAAAUUAAUUGAAGUUAAACAUAUUACAUUGUACAUAUUACAUAAAACAAAAGCAUUUGAUAGUGAUGUGAGUGUGUGCAGGUGAUAAGUAAAAUAAGAGAAAAAAAGAAAUACAAGCUGGCCAACCCAAUGUAAAAUCGUACACUGAAAGAAAAACAAAGUUUCGUUGCCAAUGCCAAAAAUAAAAUACUUCAAAUCAAAAAUAAAAAUAAUUCAUCAUGACAAUAUAAACAAAAAAUGAAAUGAAAAAAAUGCAUAAAAAAAAUUGAAAUAAAUAAUCCUAUAUUUUAAUUAUCACUUAUGAAAAAAACUAAAUAGUGCAUCUAUAGUUUGAAGUUUUCUUACUAAUAACCCCCAACACCGCAUCGACAAGAAGGCCUUCUUCGAGAACCAACAGUGGGUGAGUAAAAAUAAAAAAAUUAAAUUUUAUAUAUAUAACCAAAACAAAACUAAAACUUCAAGUUACUAAAUUGCAAUUAUGUAGUUCAGUGUAGAGCCUGGCUACCUGAGUUAAGGCUUAUCAACCGCUCGCGCCGAUUAAUUUGUCUAUUUUGUAGAUUACUCUUUUGAUUCUUAUCCAAAUUCUAACAUGGUAAUUUAAAGCACUAUAAUGUAACGUAAACAUUAACGACUACACUGAAAGAAAUUAAUAUUGACAUGAUUGGCACCUACAUAUUUUCUCCCUUUUAGCAAUAGAAAGCUUUUUCUUUCAAUGAUGCGAUUAAAUAAAUAAACUCCAUAGAAAAAAAGAAAAACACUUAAUAGUUGUUUAGGAUUAAUAAAUACUUAACAAUUACAACAUAAAAAAAAAAAACCCACACCACUUCAAUGUUCUUUUGUUGGUAACAAACCAGAAAAAGAAAAGCUUGGCACUAUAAAAAUAAAACAAAAAAAUAAAUCAAUAAAAAAAAUAAAAAUGAAUAGAGAUUUUUGCGAAAAAUAAAUAAAGAUAAAUAAUGUAAAAUAAGGAGCAAAACUUAGAAAAAUACGGAAUCAGACUUAGGGAAUUAAGAGUAUGGAAUUAUAAGAUUAAAACUAGUAAGGCUAAUUAGUUAGAAAUAUGUACACUGCAAGAAAUGCACUCAACAAGAAAGAAGAAAUUGUUUAUUGAAAAUUAAAAUUGUUGUAAAGAUGAAACUCUAAGUUCUUAUUCAUGGCAGGGGAGCAUAAUUAGAUGAUGCAUAUUUAAUUACAUUUGGGGUCUUC